rnacentral:lncRNA from 1 species
AAACACAAGUGCGCGCACGCAUGAGCGCGGCCAGAAUUAAAAGGCAAAGCGUGUGACACGCAACGGGUUAACGCAACCCUGACGCCGGAGUGUUUGUCAGCGAUAUGAAAAAACCGCUCUAAUAAUAAUAGAAACAGAAACUGGCUUGAGGCUUGUCGCUAAUUAAUUUCGGAGCGUUGACACCAGUGGUGCUCCGGUUUCACUGGCGCAAACGCCGCCAUCCGGCUGCACCGCGUUGUGUCUAAUCAUGUAACGAGAAGCUGACAUUUUGGGUUUUGUCCUGAGCCUCCCACGACUGCUGACUCAUUACUGCGCGGUGCAGAAUGCGCUGGAGCAGGAAUCGGUACAUUUGACUGCACUCCCACUCCUCUGAACGGCUCAGGCCAGCGUGGAAGGACGAUAAUGAACCGGAGGCGCAGCGAGAGGCGCGCAGCUCCAGCAAUGACUGGCUCUGAGCGGAGAGCUAAUCAUUUCCCCUCAGUCCAUUGACUCAUAUCUUACUUUUAGAUACUUUCCCCCUUUAGAUCAACUCAUUUACCUAAAACGUGUUUUUAUGGUGUUUUUCCGCCUUAUUUAUUGCGCCUGGCUGUUUGGAGGAGCCACCGGUCUGAACCUGGAGUGACGGCGGGGACCAGAGCAUCCCUCUGCCCUCCACUGUAGACGUCUUAACCUCCCAAACAGCCCGGUAGCGGCGCUUGUCGGCCUGUCAAUGGGCGUGUUGACACUGCAUUUUGGAGCAAACCCUCUUUUCAUACAUCCGCACGCAGAAAGCAAAGAGAAGGCCACCAUCCCUCUCUGACUGUCUAACGAGAUGCUCCAUCUCUGACACCGGGGCUCCGUCACCCGGAACUAAGCCGCUCCUCAGACAGAGAGCGGAGCAGACUGACGGCUCCACCGAGGCCGGAGAGUGGAGCGCAGCGCCGGGCCGGUGGGGGGGGGGGGGGGGGGGGGGGGUGCCGGGGGGAUUUAUUUCCUGGCCUGACAGGUCUCUCCUUUUUUCCAGGUGGGCAGAUGGAUUUCCUACCGCUCACAGUUCCAGCGAGUCCUGGGAAGACAGGCUGUUAUUUUAAUAGCUAUCUGUGGAGUGUGCUUCAAGUUAACAUGUCAGCUGCUGGAUGGAUCACGUAGCCGGUGGAGCUGAUAUUUUACUAAUUCGAGAUAUAACUGGCGGAAACAGGCUUUUUUUUUUAUCACGCCGGUAAAUGAGAAACUAAACCGCGAAA